UAAAAAAUGUAAAAUCAAAAUUUUGGUUUUUUUAGCUUAGUGUGGAGAGAAAGUGAGAGAUAUGUUGUGUUUAGUUCAUAAGAAUUGAAAAAGAAGAAGGAUAACUCGAUUUUGGGAGCAUUAAGAGCUUCAAAUUGGUUGUUUAUGGUGGUUAGGGUAUUGAUGACAAUGGCAAUCUUGUAAUUACUUGAAGAUGAUGAGGGUGAGAGAGUAAAAAUGUCAUUUUCGAAAAAAAAAUUAAAAAAAAAUUGAUGACAUUUUCGUGAAUUAUAUGAACUUGUGGGGUGAAUAUGGCAAAACUAAUUUCCAAAAAAAAUGGAGGUUAGUUUUGUGUUUGACUUUAAAUUGUAGGUCAAUUUUGCAAAAAACCCAAUUUUCAAUGUUUCAAAUAUAUAUAUAUAUAUAUAUAUAUAUAUGUAUAUAUAAUUAACUCUAAACUAUUAAAAAAACUGAAUUAUUAAGAAACGGG
rnacentral:lncRNA from 1 species